AGACCACAUAUUAUAUGUUAAGCCUUGCGGACGGGCGGGUCGGUUGCCGA
rnacentral:sRNA from 1 species